GCCUGGGUGGCUCAGUCGGUUGAGCGUCUGACUUUGACUCGGGUAGUGAUCUCAUAUUUUGUGAGUUCAAGCCCCGCAUUGGGCU
rnacentral:tRNA from 1 species